rfam:Salmo salar isolate Sally breed double haploid chromosome ssa16, whole genome shotgun sequence.
UGGCUCAGUUGGUAGAGCAUGGUGUUUGCAACGCCAGGGUUGUGGGUUCGAUUCCUAU